GUCGAGAAUCUUUCACAAUGGGGGCAACCCUGAUGGAGCGACGCCGCGUGGAGGAUAAGGUCUUCGGAUUGUAAACUCCUGUCAUGCGUGAACAAGGUUACUUGGUUAAUACCUGGGCAAAUUGAUGGUAACGCAAGAGGAAGAGACGGCUAACUCUGUGCCAGCAGCCGCGGUAAUACAGAGGUCUCAAGCGUUGUUCGGAAUCACUGGGCGUAAAGGGUGCGUAGGUGGCGUGGUAAGUCAGUUGUGAAAGCCCGUGGCUCAACCUCGGAACUGCAUCCGAUACUGCCAUGCUAUAGUACUGGAGAGGUGACUAGAAUUCUCGGUGUAGCAGUGAAAUGCGUAGAUAUCGAGAGGAAUACCAAAGGCGUAGGCAGGUCACUGGACAGUUACUGACACUGAGGCACGAAACCUAAGGUAGCGAAUGGGAUUAGAUACCCCGGUAGUCC
rnacentral:rRNA from 1 species